AACACUGUUAACCUGCGGUACCUGCGGAAGGAUCAUUAUUGAAUAAACUUGGUCAAGCUGUUGCUGGUCCUUCGGGACAUGUGCACGCUUGCCACCAAUUUUAACCACCUGUGCACUUUUUGUGGACUUGGAAACGUUUCUCGAGGCAACUCGGAUUGAGAACUGCUGGCGCAAGUCGGCUUUUCUUAUGUUUUCUCAGUCUAUGUUUUCAUAUACACCUAAUGUAUGUAUCAGAAUGUA
rnacentral:misc_RNA from 1 species